GAAGUGCGAUAAGCAAUGCGAAUUGCAGAAUUCCGCGAGUCAUCAGAUCUUUGAACGCAAAUGGCGCCGGAGGGAUAUCCUUCUGGCAUGUCUGUUUCAGUGUCUGAGAGGUUUCACCCACAUCUUAAUGUGAUUGACAGCAGCAGCAGUAUAUUGUUGCUGUUGUCUCUCAUGAAAGAUGCGCGAGUGGAUCUUUCGGUCCAAUGAAGUGGUCACAUCACUCGCAUGUGAUUUCAUUGGGAGCACCGAAUUAUCCGCCAUGCUCGCGGUCUCAUAUAUUGAUGAAGAAAGGAAUCUUUCGCCAUCAUUUUUUCUCUCUACACCCUGCAUCUGAGAUAGGCAAGAUCACCCGCUGAACUUAA
rnacentral:misc_RNA from 1 species